GACAAAUUGCACUUGUUUAAAAUGUACAAUCGGAUACAUUUUUUACCUAUUUAUACCCCAUGAAAUCAUCAUCUUCUGUUGCUAUGAAGAUACCCUUUGUGCUCUUUUCCUAAGCAGUCCCUCCACUUGGUGCAAUCAAUGCCAUCCACUCUUGCCUACUCCAGGAUGUGUUCUUGCAAUCAUUCCUCCUCUUUCUCCUCUGGAAUCAGUUUCUUGUUUCUAUAUUCCCCUCCACUUGCAGCCCCACACUUUCCAAAUAAGUUCUCUAUUCUCAUUAUCUCUGAUUUCUCACCUGCCUUUCUCUCUUGAAUCCAAUCUAAUUAAGCCCCCUUUCCCAUCACCCCACCAAAAUGGCUCUUGUCAAAAUUACUGAUGACUUCCAUGUUACCAGACUGGAUGGCCAAUUCUUGAGAUUCAACUCUCAGCAGCUUUUAUUAUAUAUAAAUUUCUUUAUUUGUUAGUUGUUACAACCCAUAGAAUAUAAGGUCUUUGUUUUGUUCACUGCUAUAUUCCUAAAAUCUAUCAUAGUUUGUAGCACAUAGUAAGGGCAAGUUAACUAUUUGCUGAAUGAAUGUUAAUUGAAUCUCCUUCAUGUAUAGUUUUCUAGUGUAUAAUCUUCUCUAUAAUAUUUUAUGUUCCCUUUCUCCACUGGGAAGGGGAAGCAUGUCAAUAUCAUUUCAUAGGUCACAUGAGUUUUUUUUCCUAGUUACUAAUAUUCUUAAAAAGAUAGGAUCUUUAGGGCAUAUACUGAGUGGGGUGAGUCAAGGAGAGUGCUUCAGUAUUGUUGACUCUAAUCAUCUCAGUAACUUUUCAUUUGUUUGUUUGAGACAGAGUCUGACUCUGUCACCCAGGCUGGAGUGCAGUGGUGCUAUUUCUGCUCACUGCAAACCCUGCCUCCUGGUUCAAGUGAUUCUCUUGCCUCCACCUCCCAAGUAGCUGGCAUUAUAGAUGUGGACCACCAUUCCCGGCUAAUUUUUGUAUUUUUAGUAGAGAUGGGGUUUCACCUUUUUGGCUAGGCUGGUCUCGAACUCCUGGACUCAAGCAUUCCACCCACCUCAGCCUCCCAAAGUGCUGGGAUUACAGGCAUGAGCCACUGUGCCCAGCCUAAUCAUCUCAGUAAUUGGACUCUAGGCUAACAGGAAGUCUUUCUAAGUCAUUAAGUAUUGUACAGUAUAUUUCCUCAUGGAAAUUUGUAUAACAGCUAUUUCAAAGCUGUCUGCUCUUCACUUUUUCUCCUUCACUCUAAUGUACUCAAGCCUGAUUUUUGCAAAGAAGACAUGACAUUGCUUUUUGUUACAUUUGUUACUGCUAAGUCCUUCUUCCCUUGACACUCCAAAGUCUCAAAUGGGCUAUCGAUACUCCCUACUCCCAAUCUAUUCUAUUUAUUUACCUGAAAUAUUAUAUUUUUUGUUUACUUGCUAUUUUAUGUAUCCCCCAACUAGAACACAAGCAUCAUGAGGAGCUCUGUUUAUUUUAUUCGUUGCUGAAUUAUUUGUGGCUAGAAAAGUGCCAGGCAUGUUAUUGGCUCAGUAAAUGAAUGUAUGAAUCUACUUAAAUAUCAGGUGUUAUAUGUGCCUCAGUAAGGGAUAUGAAAAGGCCACAGGUGCGAUCCAUCCAAAAUUACUUUCUCUCAGCAAAAAUUCCAUCUUGGCAUCCAGAGGUUUAUUGGGGUUUGUUACACAUGAAUUCUAUUCAAUACUGUUCAUUGAAAAGAAAGAUUCAGUUAGCCUUUCUACCUUCUUUAUUAUCUAUGAGAUUUGUUAUAAUUCCACCUUGGGGGGAACAUGGGUGAUUUUUAACGUAAUUUGUUACCCAUUGUUUUGUUUUCAAAAUAAUGUUUUCUUUUAUUUCUAGAUUUAAAAGGUGUAAAUAGGUUGGCGUUUACUAAGAGGAACAAUGUAUAUUUCUUAAUGGGGGGAAGAAGAAGACAAAGAUACAGCAAUUUUCAGCUGCUAAAGUCCACAUACGUAGAAAGAGUAGAUGAUUGAAUUCAUCCAGGGUUGGAGCAUAUGUAUGCUAGAGAGAAAUUGAGACAACGAAUACAAGCAAAUUUGCAAGAGUGAUUAUGAUGUACUACACCAUCAAAACUGAGAAAGAAGAGUGUGUAGAAGGGACUAAUGGAUGAUUAUCAUAUCUUCCUUUACAUUAAUUUAUCAGACUUAGCCUCUUCUUCUGCUGGUAGUAUUAAUCUCAAGGACAAAGUCAAAAGUAUUUAUAAGGAUUCAAAGAGGUGCUCAUAGAGCUAUUGAGAAAUUUUUUUAAAUUUCUUCCUAGCAUUUAGAAAUAUUCUACUUUAAAAGGUAAGAUAAAUAAAAGAAGAGAUGAAAAAGGAGACAUUACAACCAAUACCACAAAAAUUCAAAAGAUCAUUAGAAGGUAUUAUGAGCAACUGUAUGCAAAUGAAUUGGAAAACCUGAAAGAAAUGGAUAAGUUCCUAGACAUAUAUACCUACUGAGAUUGAAUCAUGAAGAGAUAGACCACCUAAAUAGGCCAAUAACAAGUAAUAAGAUAGACACAGUAAUAAAAAGUGUUCCAUCAAAGAAAAUCCCAGAACCUUAUGGCUUUCCUGCUAAAUUCCACUAAACAUUUCAAGAAGAACUAAUAUCAAUCCUACUCAAACUAUUUCAAAAAAUUACAGAGAAGAAAAUACAUCCAAAUUCAUUUUAUAAGGCCAGCAUUACCCAGACAUCAAAAACAGACAAAGAUACACAACAAUGAAAAAACAAAACCAAAUGCCAAUAUCUCUGAUGAACAUAGAUGGGAAAACUGUCAAUAAAAUACUCGCAAACUGAAUUCAACAACACAUUAUAGAUUAUUCAUCAUAAUCAAGUGGGAUUCAUUCCAGAAAAGCAAGGAUGGUUCAAUAUAUGCAAAUCAGUAAAUGUAAUACAUCACAUCAACAGAAUGAAGGAAAAAAUGAUUUCAAUAGACACCAAAAAAGUAUUCAAUAAAAUUUAACAUUCUUUCAUGAUAAAAAAAUAAAACUCUCAACAAAGUGGGUAUAGAAGGCAAAUACCUCAACACAAAAAAGGCUGUAUGUGACAAACCUGUAACUAGUAUUAUACUGAAUGGGGAAACACUGAAAGCCUUUCCACUAAGGUGUGGAACAAGACAAAGAUUUCCACUUUUACCACUUUUAUUCAACAUUGUAAUGUAAGUCUUAGAGCAAUUAGGCAAGAAAAAGAAAUGGCAGUUAAAUAGAAAGAAAGAAAUCGACUUAUUCUUACUUGGAUAUUAUCUUAUAGUUAAAAAAGCCUAAAACCUUCACUAAAAAGCUAUUUGAACUAAUAAACAAAUGCAGUAAAGUUACAGGAUAGAAAAUCAAUUCACAAAAAAAUCAGUAGCAUUUCUAUAUGCCAACAGCAAACAAGCUAAAAAAAGAGAGAAAGCAAUUCUAUUUACCAUAGCUACAAAAAAACCCAUAGAAAUCUACUUAAAGAAGUGAAAGGUCUUUGCAAUGAAAACUAUAAAACUCUGAUUCAAGAAAUUGAAAAAGACAUAAACAUAUGAAAACAUAUUCCAUGUUCAUGCAUUAGAAGAAUCAAUAUUGUUAAAAUAUCCAUACUACUCAAAGCGAUCUACAGAUUCAGUGCCAUUCCUAUCAAAAUAUCAAUGAUAUUCUUCACAGAAAUAGGAAAUACAAUCCUACAAUUUAUAUGAAAUCACAAAAGGCCCAGAAUAGACAAAGCUAUCCUGAGCAAAAAGAACAAAGCUGGAGGCAUCCCAUUAGUUGGCUUCAAAUUAUAUUUCAGAGCUAUAGUAACCAAAACAGCAUAGUAUUGGCAUAAAAUCAGACAUGUAGACCAAUGGAACAGAAUAGAGAACCCAGAAAUAAAUCCUUGCAUUUACAGUCAAUUCAUUUUCAAAAAAAGGUGCGAAGAACAUACAUCGUGGAAAAGACAGUCUUUUCAGCAAAUGAUGCUAGAAAAACUGGAUAUCCAUAUGCAAAAGAAUGAAACUAGAUCCCUAUCUCUCCACAUAUACAAAAAUCAAAUCAAAAUAGAUUAAAGACUUAAAUCUAAGACCUGAAGCCAUAAAACUACUAGAAGAAAGCGUUGAGGAAAUUAAUUGAGGCAAAGAUUUCUUGAGUAAGAGCUCAAAAGCACAGGCAAUGAAAGCAGAAGUGGACAAAUGGGAUCAUAUACAGCUAAAAAACUACACAGCAAAGGAAACAGUCAACAAAAUGAAGAGACAACCCACGGAAUGGGAGAAAAUAUUUGUAAACUGUUCCAGUGACAAAAGAUUAAUAACCAGAAUAUAUAAGGAUCUCUAAUAACUCAAUAGCAAGAACCAAAUAACUGGAUUUAAAAAUGGGCAAGAGAUCUGAAUAGUCACUUCUCAAGGGAAGACAUAUAAAUGGUCAACAGAUAUCUGAAAAAAUGCUCAACAUCACUAAUUAUCAUGGAAAUGCAAUCAAAACCACAAUGAGUUACCCCAGUUAAAAUGGCUUUCAUUGAAAAGACGAAAAACAAUGAAUGCUGGCAAGGAUGCAGAGAAAGGAAUGCUGAUACACUGUUGGUGAGAAUGUAAGUUAGUACAGCCACUACGGAAAUCAGUAUGGAGUUUCAGCAUGGAAAAAAAUAAAAAACAGAACUACCAUAUGAUCUAGCAAUCCCACUGCUGGGUAUAUAUUCAAAAGAAAGAAAAUCAGUAUAUCAAAGAGAUAUCUGCACUCCUAUGUUUAUUGCAGCACUAUUCACAAUAGCCAAGAUAAAGAAUCAACAUAAGUGCCCAUCAACAGAUGAAUGGAUGAAGAAAAUAUGGCACACAUACACAAUAGAAUAUUAUUCAUCCAUAAAAAUGAAUGACAUCCUGUCACUUGCAACAACAUGGAUGGUAAUGGAGGUCAGUGUGUUAAAUAAACCAGGGACAGGAAGAAAAAUAUUGCAUGUUGUUGCUCAUAUGUGGAAGCUAAAAAAGUGAUCUAAUGGAGGUAGAGAGUAGUCACCAGAGGCUGGGAAGGGUAUUGGGGAGGGAUGAUAAAGAGAGAUUGGUUCAUGGCUACAAAAAUACUGUUAGAUAGAAGGAAUAAGAUACUGAGUUCAGUAGCACAAUAGUGAAAAUAUCAUAUAUUUAAAAAUAACUAGAGAAGUGGAUUUGGAAUAUUCCCAACACAAAGAAAUGAUAAAUGUUUGAGGUGAUGGAUAUACCAAUUACCCUGCUUUGAUAAUUAUACAUUGUGUUCUUGUAUCAAAAUAUGACAUGUACACUAUAAAUAUGUACAACUAUUAUGUAUCUAUAAAAAUCAAAACAUUUUUAAAAGGUAAGAAAUAGUUCUCAUUAAAAAUAUAACUGAGAUUAUUUUUCCAUUAUAAAUUAUGUUUCAAAGAACCCAACACAAUAAGAACAUUCAAAACUCAUUUGCAACUUCUGUGGAGGUUUUAUCUCUAACCCUCUCUCAUUUAUUUUAUCAUACUUUUCUAGCUUUAAAACAUAUUUCCUUUAGAUGUCCUGGGAUAAAAAAGACAGAGGUCAUAUACCCGUUUUGCUUUAUAUUUAAUAAAUCUAAAUAGAAUCAACUGCUAAUCAUUUCCUUUUACACCUAAUGCUUUUAUAUAUACAAAAUUAUUGGAUCAAGGCAAAGGAUUCUAUAAGGUAGGGAGUGAUUCCCUAAGUUGGGCUGUGUAUCAGUGUCACUUCUUCAGACAUACAGAUGCCUGGUAUAAAAGUUGGUCACAUGAAUUGGGUCAUUUUUAUCAUAUCCAACUAAAACAGUCAAUUGACCAGGGGGAAAAAGCAUUCAGAACACAUAACAUUGAUCAAAGAAUGCAAUUCUAUGCAAGCCUGGUUGCUGAAACUGCCUUCUGUAACCUGAAAUUGGUUUUUCUAAUUACUGAAACAACCUGCUGUGACUCUAAGACUAGUUUUACCCAAGGCUGUCACUCACCAAUCAGAAGUUGCCAGCUCCCCCAAACUUUACUAGUGACAAUAAACUUUCCUAAAAAAUAAUAUGCAACAUUUCUCGUUUUUGUUUUGUUUUUUUAUAAAACCUCUAACCUCUUUGUUUUACAGACAUACCAUGGACCACCCAGUCUGUGUGUAUGCCCCAAAUUAUAAGUCUUGCUUCCCAAAUAAAACAUUUUAAAUUUAGAGAUUCAUCUCUAGUUUUAUUUGACUUUGACACUAGUCAUAGAUCCAGAUCACCUGAGUUAGAUUUUCCAGUGGUGAAAAAUAAAAAAACCCAUGAUUUGUCACAGGUGACUCACAUAUAGCCAAGUGUGAGAGCCACUGUUUUAGACAUGAGUAUAUGCACAGAAUGAGUAGCUGCUUACAUGUAAUGAGUAUAUAAUGAAUAGCUGUUUAAAUGAGUAGAAUGUUUUAAUGUCUUCUAUUAAAGUCUGAAAUAUUCUGGUAGAUUUACCAGAGGUCUACCUACUCUAAUUUCUGGAUACAAGAUGCUGAAUUACAAUAAAUCAGUAUUUAUGAUGUCACUGUAAUUGAGUUUGAAAUCUAAUUAACUUUACAUUUUUACAUUUUGCCAAAUAUUGCCAAGUCUAUUUUUAACAUUAAAUGCUCCUGGCUCAGUGAUAUGGAGAAAAAAGCAUCUUAAAUCAUUCAGUAAAACCUAAUUAUAAUUUUAAUAAAUACAU